rnacentral:rRNA from 1 species
CCUACGGGGGGCAGCAGUAGGGAAUCUUCGGCAAUGGACGAAAGUCUGACCGAGCAACGCCGCGUGAGUGAAGAAGGUUUUCGGAUCGUAAAACUCUGUUGGUAGAGAAGAAAGUUGGUGAGAGUGGAAAGCUCAUCAAGUGACGGUAACUACCCAGAACGGGACGGCUAACUACGUGCCAGCAGCCGCGGGAAUACGUAGGCCCCGAGCGUUGUGCGGAUGUAUUGGGCGUAAAGCGAGCGCAUGUGGUUUAUUAGUUGGGGGGGAAAAGGCAGGGGCUCAACCAUUGUAUGCAUUGGAAACUGGGAGACUUGAGUGCAGGAGAGGAGAGUGGAAUUCCAUGUGUAGCGGUGAAAUGCGUAGAUAUAGGGAGGAACACCGGAGGCGAAGGCGGCUCUCUGGCCUGUAACUGACACUGAGGCUCGAAAGCGUGGGGAGCAAACAGGAUUAGAUACCCGGGUAGUC